rnacentral:rRNA from 1 species
AGUGAACGCUGGCGGUAGGCCUAACACAUGCCAGUCGAACGGCAGCACAGUAAGAGCUUGCUCUUACGGGUGGCGAGUGGCGGACGGGUGAGGAAUACAUCGGAAUCUACUUUUUCGUGGGGGAUAACGUAGGGAAACUUACGCUAAUACCGCAUACGACCUACGGGUGAAAGCAGGGGAUCUUCGGACCUUGCGCGAUUGAAUGAGCCGAUGUCGGAUUAGCUAGUUGGCGGGGUAAAGGCCCACCAAGGCGACGAUCCGUAGCUGGUCUGAGAGGAUGAUCAGCCACACUGGAACUGGGACACGGUCCAGACUCCUACGGGAGGCAGCAGUGGGGAAUAUUGGACAAUGGGCGCAAGCCCGAUCCAGCCAUACCGCGUGGGUGAAGAAGGCCUUCGGGUUGUAAAGCCCUUUUGUUGGGAAAGAAAAGCAGCAGGUUAAUACCCCGCUGUUCUGACGGUACCCAAAGAAUAAGCACCGGCUAACUUCGUG